rnacentral:rRNA from 1 species
GACGAACACUGGCGGCGUGCUUAACACAUGCAAGUCGAACGGAGCACCCUUGCCUGAGGCUUCGGCCAAAUGAUAGGAAUGCUUAGUGGCGGACUGGUGAGUAACGCGUGAGGAACCUGCCUUUCAGCGGGGGACAACAGUUGGAAACGACUGCUAAUACCGCAUGACGCAUUUUGAUCGCAUGGUCGAAAUGCCAAAGAUUUAUCGCUGAAAGAUGGCCUCGCGCCUGAUUAGCUGGUUGGUGAGGUAACGGCCCACCAAGGCGACGAUCAGUAGCCGGUCUGAGAGGUUGACCGGCGACAUUGGAACUGACAAACAGCCAGGACUCCUACGGGAGGAAGCAGUGAGGAAUAAUGGGCAAUGGGCGAAUGCCUGACCCAGCAACGCCGCGUGAAGGAAGAAGGCUUUCGGGUUGUAAACUUCUUUUAAGUGGGAAGGGCAGAAGACGGUACCACUUGAAUAAGCCACGGCUAACUACGUGCCAGCCGCCGCCGUAA